UGGGGAAUUUUCCACAAUGGGCGAAAGCCUGAUGGAGCAAUACCGCGUGAAGGAUGAAGGAUCGUGGUCCGUAAACUUCUUUUCUUAACGAAGAAAAUCUGACGGUAGUUAAGGAAUAAGCACCGGCUAACUCCGUGCCAGCAGCCGCGGUAAUACGGGGGGUGCAAGCGUUGUCCGGAAUGAUUGGGCGUAAAGCAUCUGUAGGUGGUUUUUAAAGUCGACUGUUAAAGCCCAGGGCUCAACUUUGGAUAAGCGGUCGAGUACUUAAGGACUUGAGUAUGGUAGGGGUAGAGGGAAUUCCUAGUGGAGCGGUGAAAUGCACAGAGAUUAGGAAGAACACCGAGGGCGAAAAGCACUCUACUGGGCCAUGACUGACACUGAGAGAUGAAAGUUGGGGGAGCGAAAAGGAUUAGAUACCCUUGUAGUCCCAACCGUAACGAUGGAUACUAAGUGCUGACAAAAUCAGUGCUGUAGCUAACGCGUUAAGUAUCCCGCCU
rnacentral:rRNA from 1 species